CACGUAGGGCGCAAGCGUUGUCCGGAAUUAUUGGGCGUAAAGAGCUCGUAGGCGGUCUGUUGCGUCUGCUGUGAAAACUCGGGGCUUAACCCCGAGCCUGCAGUGGAUACGGGCAGACUAGAGGUAGGUAGGGGAGAAUGGAAUUCCUGGUGUAGCGGUGAAAUGCGCAGAUAUCAGGAGGAACACCGGUGGCGAAGGCGGUUCUCUGGGAAUGACCUGACGCUGAGGAGCGAAAGUGUGGGGAGCGAACAGG
rnacentral:rRNA from 1 species